AUCCUCUUGUAGUUCAUAAGCGUGAUGAUUGGGUGUUCAUGUUGUUGUGUGAUAUGUGCCUCCCUUAAACCUUGUUACGACCUUGGCACAUUGCCCAUCUGACA